UGUCGUGAAAGCAGCUCUUGAAUUUGAUUUUAUAAACUUCAAUUUAUUACAUAAAUUGAAAAGGCAUAUUUAUGUUAACUUUAUUUCAUGUUUUUUUUAUUGUUGACAGCAAAUCUUAAAAUUAGAAAAGCACUUAUGAUGAGCAAUUAAAGUGUAAAAUAUCAUGUAGUUGAAUUUGAAGAUGGGCUUGAAAUUGUUCCAUCUUCAUGGGUAAAAGAUAAGAAUAUAUGCAAAUAUCCUGCAACUAAAUCCAAGAAAAAGAAAGAUAAAGUCGUUAUCAAUAACGUACAACCGGAUUCAAGUUGGAAAAAUUAUGCCAUUUUAAGGACAUUUGCAGUAUGCGACACUUAUGAAGAAGCCUGUUUAAAAUGUGAUAAAGCAGAAUAUGUAUCAGAUAUGAACACAGAUAUGGAUGACAAUGACAAAGAAAACAAUUUUAUACAAGAAUUAACAUGCCAAAACAAAGAAAAGUAUAUAAGAAAAGUAUAUAAUAGUGAAAUAUAUAAAAGUUCAUUUGAAGAUUUAAGUAUGCUAAUGACAAACACAAUAACGGAAAUAAGAGAUUUGAAAAUAACCACAAAUAUUAUGAGUACCGACAUAAAAGAAAUAAAAAUGGAUAUUACAAAUAUAAAGAUGGAUAUCCAACGCAUGUGUGGUAUAAUUUCGAAAUUAAAAGAAAGUCAAGAUAUUACUCUACCGCUAUCAAAAUGUACCGUUGCUUCACAAGCUGUUGUUGCUUUACAUUCGAUUUUUCCAUUAAAAACGAAAGAGCAAUUACAUCAAUUGGAAAACGAACUUGAAAUCGUCGAGAAAGAAACU